UGUUCCUUUAUUCCCUUACGUACUAAUCACUA
rnacentral:piRNA from 1 species